UACAGAGGUGGCAAGCGUUGUUCGGAAUUACUGGGCGUAAAGGGCGCGUAGGCGGCCAUCUAAGUCAGACGUGAAAUCCCCCGGCUUAACCUGGGAACUGCGUCGGAUACUGGACGGCUUGAGUAUGGGAGAGGGAUGUAGAAUUCCAGGUGUAGCGGUGAAAUGCGUAGAUAUCUGGAGGAAUACCGGUGGCGAAGGCGGCAUCCUGGACCAUUACUGACGCUGAGGCGCGAAAGCUAGGGGAGCAAACGGG
rnacentral:rRNA from 1 species